rnacentral:rRNA from 1 species
GAUUAAGUUAUUAAGGGCGCACGGUGGAUGCCUUGGCACUAGAAGCCGAUGAAGGACGUUACUAACGACGAUAUGCUUUGGGGAGCUGUAAGUAAGCUUUGAUCCAGAGAUUUCCGAAUGGGGAAACCCAGCAUGAGUUAUGUCAUGUUAUCGAUAUGUGAAUACAUAGCAUAUCAGAAGGCACACCCGGAGAACUGAAACAUCUUAGUACCCGGAGGAAGAGAAAGAAAAUUCGAUUCCCUUAGUAGCGGCGAGCGAAACGGGAAGAGCCCAAACCAAAAAGCUUGCUUGUUGGGGUUGUAGGACACUCUAUACGGAGUUACAAAGGACGACAUUAGACGAAUCAUCUGGAAAGAUGAAUCAAAGAAGGUAAUAAUCCUGUAGUCGAAAAUGUUGUCUCUCUUGAGUGGAUCCUGAGUACGACGGAGCACGUGAAAUUCCGUCGGAAUCUGGGAGGACCAUCUCCUAAGGCUAAAUACUCUCUAGUGACCGAUAGUGAACCAGUACCGUGAGGGAAAGGUGAAAAGCACCCCGGAAGGAGAGUGAAAUAGAACCUGAAACCGUGUGCUUACAAGUAGUCAGAGCCCGUUAAUGGGUGAUGGCGUGCCUUUUGUAGAAUGAACCGGCGAGUUACGAUUUGAUGCAAGGUUAAGCAGUAAAUGUGGAGCCGUAGCGAAAGCGAGUCUGAAUAGGGCGUUUAGUAUUUGGUCGUAGACCCGAAACCAGGUGAUCUACCCUUGGUCAGGUUGAAGUUCAGGUAACACUGAAUGGAGGACCGAACCGACUUACGUUGAAAAGUGAGCGGAUGAACUGAGGGUAGCGGAGAAAUUCCAAUCGAACCUGGAGAUAGCUGGUUCUCUCCGAAAUAGCUUUAGGGCUAGCCUCAAGUGAUGAUUAUUGGAGGUAGAGCACUGUUUGGACGAGGGGCCCCUCUCGGGUUACCGAAUUCAGACAAACUCCGAAUGCCAAUUAAUUUAACUUGGGAGUCAGAACAUGGGUGAUAAGGUCCGUGUUCGAAAGGGAAACAGCCCAGACCACCAGCUAAGGUCCCAAAAUAUAUGUUAAGUGGAAAAGGAUGUGGCGUUGCCCAGACAACUAGGAUGUUGGCUUAGAAGCAGCCAUCAUUUAAAGAGUGCGUAAUAGCUCACUAGUCGAGUGACACUGCGCCGAAAAUGUACCGGGGCUAAACAUAUUACCGAAGCUGUGGAUUGUCCUUUGGACAAUGGUAGGAGAGCGUUCUAAGGGCGUUGAAGCAUGAUCGUAAGGACAUGUGGAGCGCUUAGAAGUGAGAAUGCCGGUGUGAGUAGCGAAAGACGGGUGAGAAUCCCGUCCACCGAUUGACUAAGGUUUCCAGAGGAAGGCUCGUCCGCUCUGGGUUAGUCGGGUCCUAAGCUGAGGCCGACAGGCGUAGGCGAUGGAUAACAGGUUGAUAUUCCUGUACCACCUAUAAUCGUUUUAAUCGAUGGGGGGACGCAGUAGGAUAGGCGAAGCGUGCGAUUGGAUUGCACGUCUAAGCAGUAAGGCUGAGUAUUAGGCAAAUCCGGUACUCGUUAAGGCUGAGC